CUAGAUUUUCUGCAAAUAAACAAAACCGAUUUUAAAGGCCUGUUUAUAUUUAUUCAUGUUGCCAUGGCAACGGCACACACGUCAGCCUAGCUAUGAAAAAUCCGAAGUUUGUGUUGUUAACUUGCGUGUUGCCAUUUUUGGCGACCAAAGGAUCAAGGGUUUUAGAGAAAAAGGAGAUUGAAACACAGGUUCGGCCACCUUGAUGUAUGGUCCCGAGCGAAACAGUUAGUUUUGUUUUCCCGAGAGUCCUGAUGUUUCCCGAGGCGAAAUCGAGAUCAACUUCUAGCAAGCAAGACAAGUAACGACUGUUAUCGCCAUGCAUUGUUUCAAGUUCCUCUUUGUGUUUGCUUUGCUUACGUGUUUGAUGGACUCGUGUGAUGGUGUCGGUCCCGGUAGUGGCUAUGGAGGUCGCAUGAGAUCCAAGAGAGGAGUUGGGGAGAAAGCUAAAGAUCCAAAUAUUCGGGACAAAAGGUAACUGUUUCCAAUGUGGAAGAAACGUCUUCCUCACCGAAGCUUUAAAGAAGAGGACAAAAAGCGAUUCGACUGAGUCCAUGUCUGUGGAAAGCUGCAUUGAGCUACCGGCGACCAGUUAUGCUUCAUCAAUCAAGUUUUUUUCUCGUAUUAAUUAUAUUAAAAAUAGACUAGACAGCUCUAUGACAAAUAGUUCAUACAAGAUGGAUGCGGUGUUAAUCAGUAACUCUGAGACCCUUAAAAGAAAUAAGCACCAGCUGAACAGCAAAUAUAGGAUUUCUUUUGCUGAACUGUAACCUCUAAAAUGAUAUUAAAUGACGUGGAUCUACCGUUGAA